rnacentral:rRNA from 1 species
GGUUAAGCGACUAAGCGUACACGGUGGAUGCCCUGGCAGUCAGAGGCGAUGAAGGACGUGCUAAUCUGCGAUAAGCGUCGGUAAGGUGAUAUGAACCGUUAUAACCGGCGAUUUCCGAAUGGGGAAACCCAGUGUGUUUCGACACACUAUCAUUAACUGAAUCCAUAGGUUAAUGAGGCGAACCGGGGGAACUGAAACAUCUAAGUACCCCGAGGAAAAGAAAUCAACCGAGAUUCCCCCAGUAGCGGCGAGCGAACGGGGAGCAGCCCAGAGCCUGAAUCAGUGUGUGUGUUAGUGGAAGCGUCUGGAAAGGCGCGCGAUACAGGGUGACAGCCCCGUACACAAAAAUGCACAUGCUGUGAGCUCGAUGAGUAGGGCGGGACACGUGGUAUCCUGUCUGAAUAUGGGGGGACCAUCCUCCAAGGCUAAAUACUCCUGACUGACCGAUAGUGAACCAGUACCGUGAGGGAAAGGCGAAAAGAACCCCGGCGAGGGGAGUGAAAAAGAACCUGAAACCGUGUACGUACAAGCAGUGGGAGCACGCUUCGGCGUGUGACUGCGUACCUUUUGUAUAAUGGGUCAGCGACUUAUAUUCUGUAGCAAGGUUAACCGAAUAGGGGAGCCGAAGGGAAACCGAGUCUUAACUGGGCGUUAAGUUGCAGGGUAUAGACCCGAAACCCGGUGAUCUAGCCAUGGGCAGGUUGAAGGUUGGGUAACACUAACUGGAGGACCGAACCGACUAAUGUUGAAAAAUUAGCGGAUGACUUGUGGCUGGGGGUGAAAGGCCAAUCAAACCGGGAGAUAGCUGGUUCUCCCCGAAAGCUAUUUAGGUAGCGCCUCGUGAAUUCAUCUCCGGGGGUAGAGCACUGUUUCGGCAAGGGGGUCAUCCCGACUUACCAACCCGAUGCAAACUGCGAAUACCGGAGAAUGUUAUCACGGGAGACACACGGCGGGUGCUAACGUCCGUCGUGAAGAGGGAAACAACCCAGACCGCCAGCUAAGGUCCCAAAGUCAUGGUUAAGUGGGAAACGAUGUGGGAAGGCCCAGACAGCCAGGAUGUUGGCUUAGAAGCAGCCAUCAUUUAAAGAAAGCGUAAUAGCUCACUGGUCGAGUCGGCCUGCGCGGAAGAUGUAACGGGGCUAAACCAUGCACCGAAGCUGCGGCAGCGACGCUUAUGCGUUGUUGGGUAGGGGAGCGUUCUGUAAGCCUGUGAAGGUGUGCUGUGAGGCAUGCUGGAGGUAUCAGAAGUGCGAAUGCUGACAUAAGUAACGAUAAAGCGGGUGAAAAGCCCGCUCGCCGGAAGACCAAGGGUUCCUGUCCAACGUUAAUCGGGGCAGGGUGAGUCGACCCCUAAGGCGAGGCCGAAAGGCGUAGUCGAUGGGAAACAGGUUAAUAUUCCUGUACUUGGUGUUACUGCGAAGGGGGGACGGAGAAGGCUAUGUUGGCCGGGCGACGGUUGUCCCGGUUUAAGCGUGUAGGCUGGUUUUCCAGGCAAAUCCGGAAAAUCAAGGCUGAGGCGUGAUGACGAGGCACUACGGUGCUGAAGCAACAAAUGCCCUGCUUCCAGGAAAAGCCUCUAAGCAUCAGGUAACAUCAAAUCGUACCCCAAACCGACACAGGUGGUCAGGUAGAGAAUACCAAGGCGCUUGAGAGAACUCGGGUGAAGGAACUAGGCAAAAUGGUGCCGUAACUUCGGGAGAAGGCACGCUGAUAUGUAGGUGAAGUCCCUCGCGGAUGGAGCUGAAAUCAGUCGAAGAUACCAGCUGGCUGCAACUGUUUAUUAAAAACACAGCACUGUGCAAACACGAAAGUGGACGUAUACGGUGUGACGCCUGCCCGGUGCCGGAAGGUUAAUUGAUGGGGUCAGCGCAAGCGAAGCUCUUGAUCGAAGCCCCGGUAAACGGCGGCCGUAACUAUAACGGUCCUAAGGUAGCGAAAUUCCUUGUCGGGUAAGUUCCGACCUGCACGAAUGGCGUAAUGAUGGCCAGGCUGUCUCCACCCGAGACUCAGUGAAAUUGAACUCGCUGUGAAGAUGCAGUGUACCCGCGGCAAGACGGAAAGACCCCGUGAACCUUUACUAUAGCUUGACACUGAACAUUGAGCCUUGAUGUGUAGGAUAGGUGGGAGGCUUUGAAGUGUGGACGCCAGUCUGCAUGGAGCCGACCUUGAAAUACCACCCUUUAAUGUUUGAUGUUCUAACGUUGACCCGUAAUCCGGGUUGCGGACAGUGUCUGGUGGGUAGUUUGACUGGGGCGGUCUCCUCCUAAAGAGUAACGGAGGAGCACGAAGGUUGGCUAAUCCUGGUCGGACAUCAGGAGGUUAGUGCAAUGGCAUAAGCCAGCUUGACUGCGAGCGUGACGGCGCGAGCAGGUGCGAAAGCAGGUCAUAGUGAUCCGGUGGUUCUGAAUGGAAGGGCCAUCGCUCAACGGAUAAAAGGUACUCCGGGGAUAACAGGCUGAUACCGCCCAAGAGUUCAUAUCGACGGCGGUGUUUGGCACCUCGAUGUCGGCUCAUCACAUCCUGGGGCUGAAGUAGGUCCCAAGGGUAUGGCUGUUCGCCAUUUAAAGUGGUACGCGAGCUGGGUUUAGAACGUCGUGAGACAGUUCGGUCCCUAUCUGCCGUGGGCGCUGGAGAACUGAGGGGGGCUGCUCCUAGUACGAGAGGACCGGAGUGGACGCAUCACUGGUGUUCGGGUUGUCAUGCCAAUGGCACUGCCCGGUAGCUAAAUGCGGAAGAGAUAAGUGCUGAAAGCAUCUAAGCACGAAACUUGCCCCGAGAUGAGUUCUCCCUGACUCCUUGAGAGUCCUGAAGGAACGUUGAAGACGACGACGUUGAUAGGCCGGGUGUGUAAGCGCAGCGAUGCGUUGAGCUAACCGGUACUAAUGAACCGUGAGGCUUAACCUU